GUAAUUGUUUUGUCUUCGCAGGUGAACGAAAAGUACAGCAACCCACGCAAUUUACAAAUAAUUAAAUUUCAGCUUAUUAAGGCUUUUAAAAGUGUUAAAAAAGUGAUAUUCAAUAAAAUAAGAAGUGAUUACAGAGGUGUUGAACAACUUUCGUGCUGUAUAUAGCGUUUCAGCCCCUAAAUUAACAAAUUUCUGCCAAGGGUGCUCCAAAUGUAAAACAUACAUAUAUACGUAUGUGUGUGAUUUACGUGCUCCCAAAAAUACAUAUAUACAUCAAAGUGUAAUCUGCAUGUGCAAUGGGCAUGAAUGUACAUAAUUUACUGUUCCUUUCCUUUUUCGUUGAUUAAAAAUAUAAAAUAAGCUUAAUAAUAAUAUGAUUAAUAUAAAUUAAAAUAUGUCGGAAGCAGGAAAAAAUCAGACUAAUACCAAGGGCUAAACAAAAUAAAAUGUUAAGAAGCUUCAACAAAUUGAAAAUAUCUACCAAGUACAGAGAACUACCGAUCAUUUUUCCCCCAUUGAUCAUCGCUGACUCAAUGAUCUCUCGCCCACCUAUGACAUUGAAAACGCAUAUUGGCCAGGCUAAUAUAAAACAUGCAACUGUAACAAAAGCCCAGGAAAGUGGAAGGUGGCUCGAAGCUCUUACAUAAAUAUGGCAAUUGGCUAAUUAGAAUUACAAAGAAGGCAAUUGAAAAAGCGCCACAACAGCGACUGCGACACCAGAAACUUGGCAGCGGGAACUGUCAGUCGCACAGCAAGAAAACAGAAAACAGAAAGAUAAUAAAUAAAUGUAUAGAUAAAUAGAGAAUAAAUAAAUGCCGAUUGGAAAAACGCGGCACGCAUGCGCAAUGAGGAUCGCACGUGGAGUGGAGUUAGCUGUUGGCUGAAAGUGGGCGGAAAAGGGGCGGAAAAGGGGGCGCAAGGCGACUUUGUUACGAAAAGUGUCGCAAAACGCGCCAAAUGAUAAAUGAUAUGGCGGCAUGCAGCGACUAACAAUCAAAGAUGAGGAAGCGCAUCUCCAGAGAUCUCGAGAAGAUGGCAUCUUGACAAAUAAGGGUUGCACUUCCAGCAAGAUUGGUUGCCUGUUUCAUAACCAGCGAACUUCACAAUCCGACAUGAGGGACCAGAUAAUCCAGCAUUCGAGCCGCUGCAAUCCGAUUGAAUGAAGAAGGCUGAAGCGAGGACACACAAGCGAUCUCUGGACAAGAGGCCGUCAAAGAGCUCCCUUUCUAAAUCAAUUAGUUCUAUUAUGAAUUUUUCUAGCAAUUCUAGCAAUUGUUAAUUAGACUUUUAAGAAUUAUAUUAGGCGUUUUGUAAAUAAAUACCGUUAAUAAAGUAUAAAAUACUUCUGGGAAACGAC